rnacentral:pre_miRNA from 1 species
UAUCUACUCCCUCCGUCUGAAAAUACUUGUCUUAGAAAUGGUUGUAUCUAAACUUAUUUUAGUUAUAGAUGCAUCCAUUUUUAACCAUUUGUAAGACAAGUAUUUUCGGACGGAGGGAGUACUAU